rnacentral:rRNA from 1 species
GAACGGUCCUUCGGGACAGUGGCAGACGGGUGAGUAACGCGUGGGAAUCUACCUAGCUCUACGGAAUAGCUUCGGGAAACUGGAAUUAAUACCGUAUACGCCCUCCGGGGGAAAGAUUUAUCGGAGUUAGAUGAGCCCGCGUUAGAUUAGCUAGUUGGUGGGGUAAUGGCCUACCAAGGCGACGAUCUAUAGCUGGUCUGAGAGGAUGAUCAGCCACACUGGGACUGAGACACGGCCCAGACUCCUACGGGAGGCAGCAGUGGGGAAUAUUGGACAAUGGGCGAAAGCCUGAUCCAGCCAUGCCGCGUGUGUGAUGAAGGCCUUAGGGUUGUAAAGCACUUUCAACGGGGAAGAUAAUGACGGUACCCGUAGAAGAAGCCCCGGCUAACUUCGUGCCAGCAGCCGCGGUAAUACGAAGGGGGCUAGCGUUGUUCGGAAUUACUGGGCGUAAAGCGCGCGUAGGCGGAUUGAUCAGUUAGGGGUGAAAUCCCAAGGCUCAACCUUGGAACUGCCUCUAAUACUGUCAGUCUAGAGUUCUAGAGAGGUGAGUGGAAUUCCGAGUGUAGAGGUGAAAUUCGUAGAUAUUCGGAGGAACACCAGUGGCGAAGGCGGCUCACUGGCUAGAUACUGACGCUGAGGUGCGAAAGUGUG